rnacentral:rRNA from 1 species
GACGAACGCUGGCGGCGUGCUUAACACAUGCAAGUCGAACGAAGUGGCGAACGGGUGAGUAACGCGUAAUCAACCUGCCCUUCAGAGGGGGACAGCAGUAGGACACGACUGCUAAUACCGCAUACUGAAGGAGGGGAUUGCGUCUGAUUAGCUAGUUGGAGGGGUAACGGCCCACCAAGGCGAUGAUCAGUAGCCGGUCUGGGAGGAUGAACGGCCACAUUGGGACUGAGACACCGCCCCGACCCCUACGGGAGGCAGCAGUGGGGAAUUUUCCGCAAUGGACGAAAAUCUGACGGAGCAACGCCGCGUGGGUGAAGACGGCCUUCGGGUUGUAAAGCUCUGUUAAUCGGGACGCGGUACCGAAAUAGAAAGCCACGGCUAACUACGUGCCAGCAGCCGCGGUAAUAC